AUUCAAAACGGGAACUUUAGUGAAAACUGAAGGGCGCUAUGGGCCUUAAACGAAUGCAACGUCACACUGGACUUUUAAUUUGAAAUAACUACCGGAAGUAUGAUGUUCUCCUUACCUGCGUUGUAUUUCGUGUCGCUGAAGUCUAAACAGCGGUUCAGACUUGAGAAGACUGGCAAGUUGUGAUGGUGAGAGCUCCUUGUCCGUCUUCUCGUCGCUCUUCCCGGUUCUGUGGACGGAAGGAGCAGCUAAUGGCCUAAACGCAGCCCUGUCUGCGUUUUCCUUACCGCAGGACGAGCCCACUCACCAACUCACUGGAUCGUAGCUCGAAUACUCCAAGGACAUUUUAACGUUUCUACAGCUUUUGGCCUUUUCUGUAGAUUGAGGAAACCCAGCGUGUUGCUCUCCCGCGCAAUGAUGUGGACAGAUUUUGUAAACAUGGGCAGAACCUGCGGUUGGUUUCACGUAGCCCACCCCCGGGGCUGAUGAUGUGUCUACGCGUGUCAUUUUUAAACGUCGUACCCGCAUCCCUUCCCCUGCCGAGGGGACAGACACACAAACAGACCGACGAGCCAGUGAACGGAAAUCAGUCACUGACUUUCGUUGCGCUCCGUUCGGCCAUGGCAUCGCUGAGAUCGGAGGCUGCCUCAUGCUGAAGGGACAUCUAUGUUACUGGAAGAAGGUGGUGGCCAUAAAACCCAGAGGAGAGACUGAUGAACUUUGAAUCCCAGACUACUGCUGCUGCUGCUGGAGGAGUGUGUUGAAGGCAGAGGUGCGUCGGGUUCAGAAAGCAGAGUGCAGUGCAGUGAGCCGUGAGGGAGAGGAACAGAAAACCAACAAAAGUGAAAGUGUAGACAGGAGAAACGGGAGAAAGAAGUAUCGGCCCUGGCAGCGUCUCGUCUCUACUUUCUCUGUCACUCACUUUCUUGUCCUGGCAGCCAAUAAAGAAAGUGCCCACUGUG